UACGUAGGGAGCAAGCGUUGUCCGGAUUUACUGGGCGUAAAGCGCGCGUAGGCGGCCAAGCAGGUCCGUUGUGAAAACUGGAGGCUUAACCUCCAGACGUCGACGGAAACCGCGUGGCUAGAGUCCGGAAGAGGAGAGUGGAAUUCCUGGUGUAGCGGUGAAAUGCGCAGAUAUCAGGAAGAACACCAAUGGCGAAGGCAGCUCUCUGGGACGGUACUGACGCUGAGACGCGAAAGCGUGGGGAGCGAACAGG
rnacentral:rRNA from 1 species